UACAGAGGGUGCGAGCGUUAAUCGGAAUUACUGGGCGUAAAGCGUGCGUAGGUGGUUUGUUAAGUCUGCUGUGAAAGCCCCGGGCUCAACCUGGGAAUGGCAGUGGAUACUGGCAAGCUAGAGUGCGGUAGAGGGAGUGGAAUUCCCGGUGUAGCGGUGAAAUGCGUAGAGAUCGGGAGGAACACCAGUGGCGGAAGGCGGCUACCUGGACCAGCACUGACA
rnacentral:rRNA from 1 species